rnacentral:rRNA from 1 species
GACGUAGGGGGCCAGCGUUGUUCGGAAUUACUGGGCGUAAAGAGCUCGUAGGCGGUUUGUCGCGUCUGCUGUGAAAUCCCGAGGCUCAACCUCGGGUCUGCAGUGGGUACGGGCAGACUGGAGUGCGGUAGGGGAGAAUGGAAUUCCUGGUGUAGCGGUGAAAUGCGCAGAUAUCAGGAGGAACACCGGUGGCGAAGGCGGGUCUCUGGGCCGAUACUGACGCUGAGGAGCGAAAGCGUGGGGAGCGAACGGG